rnacentral:rRNA from 1 species
AGGAAAUAGAUACCCUGGUAGUCCACGCUGUAAACGAUGAGUGCUAGACGUUGGGGGCGUUGCCCUCCGGUGUCGCAGCUAAACGCUUUAAGUCACUCCGCCUGGGGAGGUGCGGCCGCAAGGUUAAAACUACAAAGGAAUUGACGGGGGCCCGGCACAAGCGGUGGAGCAUGUGGUUUAAAUUUCGACGCAACGCGCAGAACCUUACCAGCCCUUGACAUGGGGAGUAUGGCCCGGGGAGACCUGGGUCUUCAGUUCGGCUGGCUCCCGCACAGGUGCUGCAUGGCUGUCGUCAGCUCGUGUCGUGAGAUGUUGGGUUUAAGUCCCGCAACGAGCGCAACCCUCGCCUUUAGUUGCCAUCGGGUAGGGCCGGGCACUCUAAAGGAACUGCCGGUGACAAGCCGGAGGAAGGUGGGGAUGACGUCAAGUCCUCAUGGCCCUUACGGGCUGGGCUACACACGUGCUACAAUGGUGGUGACAGUGGGGUAGCGAAGGGGUUGACCCGGAGCCGAUCCCAUAAAACGCCAUCUCAGUUCGGAUUGCUCUCUGCAA